AUGCUGCCGCUCCCUCCUAGAUCCAGUUUCCACCCAACCGAUGUCGAGCUCACCCUCUACUAUCUCAAGAGGAAGCUACUCGGAAACAAGUUGCUCUGCAAUGCUGUUACAGAAGUCGAUAUCUACAAAUACGCCCCCUGGGAUCUUCUAGCGAAAUCUUCAAUGCCGACUAGGGAUCUCCAAUGGUAUUUCUUUUGCACUCAUGGUAGGAAGUACUCUGUCAGGUCAAGAAUUAACCAAUUAACCCAAGCCGGCUACGGGAAAGGACAGGAAAGUGGUGUAUGA
rnacentral:rRNA from 1 species